GAAGGGACCUAGCGUAGUUCGGAAUUACUGGGCUUAAAGAGCUCGUAGGUGGUUAAAAAAGUUGAUGGUGAAAUCCCAAGGCUCAACCUUGGAACUGCCAUCAAAACUUUUUAGCUAGAGUGUGAUAGAGGUAAGUGGAAUUUCUAGUGUAGAGGUGAAAUUCGUAGAUAUUAGAAAGAACACCAAAUGCGAAGGCAACUUACUGGGUCACUACUGACACUGAGGAGCGAAAGCAUGGGUAGCGAAGAGGAUUAGAUACCCUCGUAGUCCAUGCCGUAAACGAUGUGUGUUAGACGUUGGAAAUUUAUUUUCAGUGUCGCAGCGAAAGCGAUAAACACACCGCCUGGGGAGUACGACCGCAAGGUUAAAACUCAAAUGAAUUGACGGGGACCCGCACAAGUAGUGGAGCAUGUGGUUUAAUUCGAAGAUACGCGCAGAACCUUACCAACACUUGACAUGUUCGUCGCGACUCUAAGAGAUUAGAGUUUUCGGUUCGGCCGGACGAAACACAGGUGCUGCAUGGCU
rnacentral:rRNA from 1 species